rnacentral:rRNA from 1 species
UGGCGAACGGGUGAGUAACACGUGGGUGAUCUGCCCUGCACUCUGGGAUAAGCCUGGGAAACUGGGCCUAAUACCGGAUAGGACCAUGCUUUAGUGUGUGUGGUGGAAAGUUUUUUCGGUGUAGGAUGAGCCCGCGGCCUAUCAGCUUGUUGGUGGGGUAAUGGCCUACCAAGGCGGCGACGGGUAGCCGGACUGAGAGGUUGGUCGGCCACAUUGGGACUGAGAUACGGCCCAG